GUGCUUUUGCACAUUGGGUAGGGGAGCGUUCUGUAAGCGGUUGAAGGUGUGUGGUAACGCAUGCUGGACGUAUCAGAAGUGCGAAUGCUGACAUGAGUAACGAUAAAGGGGGUGAAAAACCUCCUCGCCGGAAGACCAAGGGUUCCUGUCCAACGUUAAUCGGGGCAGGGUAAGUCGACCCCUAAGGCGAGGCCGAAAGGCGUAGUCGAUGGGAAACGGGUUAAUAUUCCCGUACUUCUUACAAUUGCGAUGGGGGGACGGAGAAGGCUAGGUGGGCCUGGCGACGGUUGUCCAGGUUCAAGUGCGUAGGCUUAAGAGUUAGGUAAAUCCGGCUCUUUUUAAGGCUGAGACACGACGUCGAGCACCUACGGGUGUGAAGUCAUUGAUGCCAUGCUU
rnacentral:rRNA from 1 species